GUAGGAUGAAAAGUGGUUCAUCAGAGACCAAAUUGUUACAAGAAUUGAUUCUUUAUGCAGCAAGCGCAGCUCUUAGCUGUCUCGUAUUGUUUGUGGGGCUCCGGCAGCUUGACCCGAAUCGAGAGGCAUCCAAGAAGGCUCUUGAACACAAGAAGGAAAUUGCUAAGCGAUUGGGUCGACCCCUCAUUCAAACCAAUCCCUAUGAGGAUGUGAUAGCCUGUGAUGUAGUGAACCCUGAUCAUAUAGAUGUGGAAUUUAAUUCCAUUGGCGGGUUAGAAUCCAUUAAGCAAGCAUUAUGUGAAUUAGUUAUUCUUCCCAUGCGAAGACCUGAGCUGUUUUCUCACGGAAAGUUACUCGGCCCACAAAAAGGAGUCUUGCUUUAUGGACCACCUGGGACUGGAAAGACCAUGCUUGCCAAAGCAAUUGCUAAAGAGUCAGGUGCUGUUUUUAUCAAUGUGAGAAUAUCAAAUUUGAUGAGCAAAUGGUUCGGUGAUGCACAAAAAUUAGUUGCUGCCGUAUUUAGUUUGGCACAUAAACUCCAGCCAGCAAUUAUAUUUAUUGAUGAAGUUGAUAGCUUUUUGGGCCAGCGCAAGGCCACCGAUCAUGAAGCAUUAACAAACAUGAAAACUGAAUUCAUGGCUUUAUGGGAUGGUUUUACCACAGAUCAGAAUGCACGAGUGAUGGUUCUUGCUGCAACGAAUCGCCCAUCUGAGCUUGAUGAAGCAAUCCUCCGACGUCUUCCUCAAGCCUUUGAGAUUGGGUUCCCCGACCGUAAAGAGAGAGCAGAGAUUCUGAAGGUGAUUCUGAGGGGAGAGAGGGUGGAAGAUACCAUCGACUAUGACCGCAUUGCUAGUUUAUGUGAUGGUUACACUGGUUCAGAUCUUUUUGAGCUCUGUAAAAAAGCUGCCUACUUUCCUAUCCGUGACCUUCUUAAUGAUGAGAAAAGUGGAAAGCCUUCCGCGGAGCCAAGGCCAUUAUCAGAAACAGAUUUGGAGAAAGUUAUAGCUACAUCAAAAAAGACACAGGUUGCUGCAAAUGAAUACAACUCCUUACGUUCACAACUUGCUGGAUUGUCAAGGCAAACAGAUACAGAUGAUUAUCCAGUCCAAGCUGCUAUCAGCGAGCUAUCCAAGCUUGUGGUUUCUCAAAUUUUGAAUCUCCAGGCAGAGAACCAGGAUUCUUAACUGCCACUAGCAUUAUGGACUGGACUUGCAUGCAUAUGUGGGAAAUUGCACGGUUCUUUACGGCUCUGCUGUGUCUUGGAGAAUGUCGUAUUCAGGUUUUUUGCUAGUGUAUUAUAGAGGGUAUAAAUUGACAGACUCUAGUCUUGCCAGGUGAAGUUAAUGUUCAAGUUAUAAUGUACAAUAUAUUAGGCUACCUAAUAUAGUUAGGUCUUGCAUCCUCUAUUAAAUGAAUGAUGUUGUAGCUCUACAGUCUA
rnacentral:misc_RNA from 1 species